AUACGUAGGGGGCGAGCGUUGUCCGGAAUUACUGGGCGUAAAGGGUGCGUAGGUGGCCUUUUAAGUUGGAUGUGAAAUACCCGGGCUUAACUUGGGGGGUGCAUCUAACACUGGAGGGCUAGAGUGCAGGAGAGGGAAGCGGAAUUCCUAGUGUAGCGGUGAAAUGCGUAGAUAUUAGGAGGAACACCAGUGGCGAAGGCGGCUUUCUGGACUGUAACUGACACUGAGGCACGAAAGCGUGGGGAGC
rnacentral:rRNA from 1 species